UUUUCGUUUUUCCAUGUCUAACGUUUGACCAUUCGUCUUAUUUAAAAAAUUUAUACAAAAACUUAAAAAAAUUAGUCACAUAUAAAGUACUAUUUAUAUUUUAUCAUCUAGUAACAAUAAAAAUAUUAAUCAUAAAAAAAAUUCAAAUAAGACGAAUGGUCAAAUGUUAAACACGAAAAAAC
rnacentral:pre_miRNA from 1 species